AAGUCGAGGGGUAACGGAAGUAGCUUGCUACUAGACGACGACCGGCGCACGGGUGAGCAACGCGUAUGUAAUCUGCCUUGUACAGAGGGAUAGCCCAGAGAAAUUUGGAUUAAUACCUCAUAGUAUUACUGGAUCGCAUGAUUUGGUAAUUAAAGCUCCGGCGGUACAAGAUGAACAUGCGUGACAUUAGCUAGUUGGUAAGGUAACGGCUUACCAAGGCUACGAUGUCUAGGGGUUCUGAGAGGAUGAUCCCCCACACUGGUACUGAGACACGGACCAGACUCCUACGGGAGGCAGCAGUGAGGAAUAUUGGUCAAUGGACGCAAGUCUGAACCAGCCAUCCCGCGUGAAGGAUGACUGCCCUAUGGGUUGUAAACUUCUUUUAUAUGCAAAUAAACCUACUUUCGUGAAAGUAGCUGAAGGUAGCAUAUGAAUAAACACCGGCUAACUCCGUGCCAGCAGCCGCGGUAAUACGGAGGGUGUAAGCGUUAUCCGGAUUUAU
rnacentral:rRNA from 1 species